rnacentral:lncRNA from 1 species
AGCGGGGCGGCCCGGCCGAGAGCAGCGCCCAGCUCCCAGCGCCCCGCACCGCCCGGCCCGGGCUGGGAGCGCUCCCCGCGGGGGGCCGGCGGCGGGCAGGGCAGGGCAGGGCAGGGCAGGGCAGGGCGGCGGGGGUGGGAUCUGCUCCGCGUAAUUCCCCCCGGGGGGCGGCGGGCCGCUCUCGGAGCAUCCCCCCCCCCCCUCCGUCCCCGACGCGGGGAGGGGAGAGCCACCACCCCCCGCUUCCUCCGUUUAAGACCCGGGCCGGCGGGGCGAGAGCGGAGGAGAGCGGCCGCUCCGCAGCUGCCGGCCCCAUUUCGGCGGCGGGGCGGGCGCUGGAUGAGCCGCCGACGGGAGGCGGCCGGCAGCCGAGCGGGUCCGAUCGCGGCGCGAUGAGCGCGGGCGGCAGCGGCUCGGCGGGCACCGCCACCUCCGCGCUGUGCCUGCUCCUGUCGCUCACCGCCGUGGCCGUGUGUCUGCUGCUGGGCGCUAAGACCGCCGAGCUGCAGGGCCGCCUGGCCGCCCUGGAGGAGCGCGGUGCCGCCGGCCCCGGGCCGCUGCUGGACGCGCUGCAGCCCCGCGUGGAGCAGCUCCUGCGCGAGUAGGCAGAGAGUGUCCGGAUUAAUCAGCUUCAUGACGAG